rnacentral:rRNA from 1 species
GGGUGAGUAACACGUGGGUAAUCUGCCUUAUACAGGGGGAUAACAGUUAGAAAUGACUGCUAAUACCGCAUAAGCGCACGGGGACGCAUGUUUCUGUGUGAAAAACUCCGGUAGUAUAAGAUGAGCCCGCGUCUGAUUAGCUGGUUGGUGGGGUAACGGCCUACCAAGGCGACGAUCAGUAGCCGGCCUGAGAGGGUGAACGGCCACAUUGGGACUGAGACACGGCCCAAACUCCUACGGGAGGCAGCAGUGGGGAAUAUUGCACAAUGGGGGAAACCCUGAUGCAGCGACGCCGCGUGAGUGAAGAAGUAUUUCGGUAUGUAAAGCUCUAUCAGCAGGGAAGAAAAAAGACGAUACCUGACUAAGAAGCCCCGGCUAACUACGUGCCAGCAGCCGCGGUAAUACGUAGGGGGCAAGCGUUAUCCGGAUUUACUGGGUGUAAAGGGAGCGUAGACGGCGCGGCAAGUCUGAAGUGAAAGGCAGGGGCUUAACCCCUGAACUGCUUUGGAAACUGCCAUGCUAGAGUGCUGGAGAGGUAAGUGGAAUUCCUAGUGUAGCGGUGAAAUGCGUAGAUAUUAGGAGGAACACCAGUGGCGAAGGCGGCUUACUGGACAGUAACUGACGUUGAGGCUCGAAAGCGUGGGGAGCAAACAGGAUUAGAUACCCUGGUAGUCCACGCCGUAA